rnacentral:rRNA from 1 species
AUACGGAAGGUCCGGGCGUUAUCCGGAUUUAUUGGGUUUAAAGGGAGCGCAGGCGGAGAUGCAAGCGUGACGUCAAAUUUCGGGGCUCAACCCCGUCUCGCGUCGCGAACUGCGUCCCUUGGUUGCGGGAAGGGGAGGCGGAACUCGUGGUGUAGCGGUGAAAUGCAUAGAUAUCACGAAGAACUCCGAUCGCGAAGGCAGCCUUCCGGCCCGUCAACGACGCUCAUGCUCGAAGGUGCGGGUAUCAAACAGGAUUAGAUACCCUGGUAGUCCGCACAGUAAACGAUGGACACCCGCGGUUUGGCCUAUAUGGCUGAGCCGCCAAGCGAAAGCGUUAAGUGUCCCACCUGGGGAGUACGCCGGCAACGGUGAAACUUAAAGGAAUUGACGGGG